GCAGUCGAACGAACACUUUGAUCGAUUUCUUCGGAUUGAAAUUUUAGUGACUGAGUGGCGGACGGGUGAGUAACGCGUGGGCAACCUGCCUCACACAGGGGGAUAACAGUUGGAAACGGCUGCUAAUACCGCAUAAGCGCACAGUACCGCAUGGUACAGUGUGAAAAACUCCGGUGGUGUGAGAUGGACCCGCGUCUGAUUAGCUAGUUGGCAGGGCAACGGCCUACCAAGGCGACGAUCAGUAGCCGACCUGAGAGGGUGACCGGCCACAUUGGGACUGAGACACGGCCCAAACUCCUACGGGAGGCAGCAGUGGGGAAUAUUGCACAAUGGGGGAAACCCUGAUGCAGCGACGCCGCGUGAGCGAAGAAGUAUUUCGGUAUGUAAAGCUCUAUCAGCAGGGAAGAAGAAAUGACGGUACCUGACUAAGAAGCACCGGCUAAAUACGUGCCAGCAGCCGCGGUAAUACGUAUGGUGCAAGCGUUAUCCGGAUUUACUGGGUGUAAAGGGAGCGCAGGCGGAAGGCUAAGUCUGAUGUGAAAGCCCGGGGCUCGACCCCGGUACUGCAUUGGAAACUGGUCAUCUAGAGUGUCGGAGGGGUAAGUGGAAUUCCUAGUGUAGCGGUGAAAUGCGUAGAUAUUAGGAGGAACACCAGUGGCGAAGGCGGCUUACUGGACGAUAACUGACGCUGAGGCUCGAAAGCGUGNGGAGCAAACAGGNUUAGAUACCCUGGUAGUCCACGCCGU
rnacentral:rRNA from 1 species